AGCUACACAUUGAGCACAGAGCGAAUUAUUCUUUUGCCUUUUACUAAAGAAUACCAUGUGCUCACUGCAGAAAGUGGCAUAAGCCUAUUUUUGGAGGGCUCUUUCAUUAGAUAGGGU